rnacentral:rRNA from 1 species
GUGGGGAAUAUUGCACAAUGGAGGAAACUCUGAUGCAGCGAUGCCGCGUGAGGGAAGAAGGUUUUCGGAUUGUAAACCUCUGUCUUAAGGGACGAUAAUGACGGUACCUUAGGAGGAAGCUCCGGCUAACUACGUGCCAGCAGCCGCGGUAAUACGUAGGGAGCGAGCGUUGUCCGGAAUUACUGGGUGUAAAGGGAGUGUAGGCGGGAUGGUAAGUUAGGUGUGAAAUGCGGAGGCUCAACCUCCGAGCUGCACUUAAAACUGCUGUUCUUGAGUGAAGUAGAGGUUGGCGGAAUUCCCAGUGUAGCGGUGAAAUGCGUAGAUAUUGGGAGGAACAUCAGUGGCGAAGGCGGCCAACUGGGCUUUUACUGACGCUGAGGCUCGAAAGCGUGGGGAGCAAACAGGAUUAGAAACCCGGGUAGUCC